rnacentral:rRNA from 1 species
UACGGAAGGGGCGAGCGUUGUCCGGAAUCAUUGGGCGUAAAGCGCGUGUAGGCGGCCCGGUAAGUCCGCUGUGAAAGUCGGGGGCUCAACCCUCGAAUGCCGGUGGAUACUGUCGGGCUAGAGUGCGGAAGAGGCGAGUGGAAUUCCCGGUGUAGCGGUGAAAUGCGCAGAUAUCGGGAGGAACACCUAUGGCGAAGGCAGCUCGCUGGGACGUUACUGACGCUGAGACGCGAAAGCGUGGGGAGCAAACAGG